GCGGGCGUAGCAAUACGUCAGCGGCAGACGGGUGAGUAACGCGUGGGAACAUACCUUUUGGUUCGGAACAACACAGGGAAACUUGUGCUAAUACCGGAUAAGCCCUUACGGGGAAAGAUUUAUCGCCGAAAGAUUGGCCCGCGUCUGAUUAGCUAGUUGGUGAGGUAAUGGCUCACCAAGGCGACGAUCAGUAGCUGGUCUGAGAGGAUGAUCAGCCACAUUGGGACUGAGACACGGCCCAAACUCCUACGGGAGGCAGCAGUGGGGAAUAUUGGACAAUGGGCGCAAGCCUGAUCCAGCCAUGCCGCGUGAGUGAUGAAGGCCCUAGGG
rnacentral:rRNA from 1 species